GACGAACGCUGGCGGCGUGCCUAAUACAUGCAAGUCGAACGCAGUGGGGACGGGUGAGUAACACGUGGGUAACCUCCCAUCAGAGGGGAUAACACUUGGAAACAGGUGCUAAACCGAUACUGAUGGAUGGACCCGCGGUGCAUUAGCUAGUGGGGGGUGUAACGGCGACCAAAGGCCCCGAUGCAUAUGUGACCUGGGAGGGUGAUCGGCCACACUGGGACUGAGACACGGCCCAGAAUCCUACGGGAGGCAGCAGUAGGGAUGCUUCGGCAAUGGACGAAAGUCUGACCGAGCAACGCCGCGGGAGUGAAGAAGGUUUUCGGAUCGUAAAACUCUGUUGUUAGAGAAGCGGUAUCUAACCAGAAAGCCACGGCUAACUACGUGCCAGCAGCCGCGGUAAUUC
rnacentral:rRNA from 1 species